UAGAUUUUAUCACCUGUAUUAAUAAGGAAACUGUCAAAGCGAGUGAUGUGCAGACUUUGGACUGGAACACGGGUCUUUCUGAUCCCUAUCUCUGUUCCCUCCCCAGCCUAUCCUUCCAAAUGUCCAGGAGAAUCUUCCUCAGUCUUGAGUUUCCCGCUGAUGUUACCACUGUCUUUGUUUCUGGAGAGGAAAACAAGUCUAAACUUACUUUCCAGUUGGAAAUGGAAUGGAGAGUUAACGUUGGAAGCCGGGAGAGUCUGUCCUGUGAUGAAGCGGUCUCUGAGCCACUUCCAUGGGGACGUCACGUCACUGUCUGGGCCCCUUGCACAGCCUGUGCACAGCAUUCCUAGGAGAGAAUUCAGCAGUGCAGCAUCCUCUCCGAGCUCUAUGAGUUGAUCGGCUUCCACCGCAAGUCCGCCUUCUUCAAGAGGGUGGCCCCCUUGCAGCGCGUGGCCCCCGGCAUUACGGAGCCUGGCGCGAAGGCCUGCUACCGACUCCUUCUGCAGACGCUUCCUGGCUACAGUCUGUCGCUGGAUCUGCAGGACUUCAGCAAAGGUGUUGGAACUAAAACAUUGCUUCAGUCCCAUUAACCAUGCCUGGUUUGGGCCCUGCUGUCCUGUCUCAUCAGGGUGAAUUCUGAUUCGUUUAGAAUAGGGCUCAGCAGACUUUUUCUGUCAAGGGCUUGGGAGUAAGUAUUUCAGGGUCUGCAAACCUCCUGAUCUCUGGUGCAGCUGCUCAGCUCUGCUGUUCAGACGCCAGAGCAUCCGGACAUUCCACACACCCACAGAGCUUUAUUAACAGCGGUGUCUGGGGCUGGAUUCAGUGUAUGAACUGCAGUUUGUCCCCACAGCCUCCUCAUUAUUGACGCCUUCAACAGAGCAUGCAUUUGCGACACUGGGUGAACCUGCACUGACACGUCAUCAUCACCCAGAGCCCAGACUUGACACUAGGAUUUACACUUGGUGGUGUGCACUCUGUGGGUUUGGACAGAUGUGCAAUGACAUGUAUCCACCGUCACAGCAUCAUACAGAGUAGUCUGUCUUAGUGACCUUAAAAUGCUCCGUGCUGCACCUCAUUCAUUGCUCCUUCCCCUCUAGCCUCUGACAGCCACUGAUCUUUUAGUCUCUGUGGUUUUCCCUUUCCCAGAACACCAUACAGUUGGAAUCAGACAGUUGCGGAACCUUCCCAGAUUGGCUUCUUUCACUUAGUAAUAUGCAUUUAAGGUUCCUCCAUGUCUUUCCAUGCCUUGAUAACUCAUUUCAUUUUAGCACCAAAUAAUAGUCCAUUUUCUGGCUGGACCACAGUUUAUCCAUUCACCUACUGAAGAACAGCUUAGUUGCUUCUGAGUUCUGGUGAUUAUGAAUAAAGCUGCUAUUAACAUCUGUA